ACUCCUGCGGGAGGCAGCAGUGGGGAAUUUUGGACAAUGGGCGAAAGCCUGAUCCAGCAAUGCCGCGUGAGUGAAGAAGGCCUUCGGGUUGUAAAGCUCUUUUGUCAGGGAAGAAACGGUGAGAGCUAAUAUCUCUUGCUAAUGACGGUACCUGAAGAAUAAGCACCGGCUAACUACGUGCCAGCAGCCGCGGUAAUACGUAGGGUGCAAGCGUUAAUCGGAAUUACUGGGCGUAAAGCGUGCGCAGGCGGUUUUGUAAGUCUGAUGUGAAAUCCCCGGGCUCAACCUGGGAAUUGCAUUGGAGACUGCAAGGCUAGAAUCUGGCAGAGGGGGGUAGAAUUCCACGUGUAGCAGUGAAAUGCGUAGAUAUGUGGAGGAACACCGAUGGCGAAGGCAGCCCCCUGGGUCAAGAUUGACGCUCAUGCACGAAAGCGUGGGGAGCAAACAGGAGUAGAAACCCCAGUAGUCCC
rnacentral:rRNA from 1 species